rnacentral:sRNA from 1 species
AUGUACCCACGUACAUUCCGGUUCCUCCGCGCGGUCCGCACCCACCUGACGGCUGCUCGCUACGUUUUGUUAGCC